rnacentral:rRNA from 1 species
UACGUAGGGGGCUAGCGUUGUCCGGAUUUAUUGGGCGUAAAGAGCGUGUAGGCGGCCAGGUAGGUCUGGUGUGAAAACUAGAGGCUCAACCUCUAGACGUCGACCGAAACCAUCUGGCUAGAGUCCGGAAGAGGAGAGUGGAAUUCCUGGUGUAGCGGUGAAAUGCGCAGAUAUCAGGAAGAACACCCGUGGCGAAGGCGGCUCUCUGGGACGGUACUGACGCUGAGACGCGAAAGCGUGGGGAGCGAACAGG